rnacentral:rRNA from 1 species
CAAGUCGAGGGGCAUCGGGAGGAAAGCUUGCUUUCCUUGCCGGCGACCGGCGCACGGGUGAGUAACACGUAUGCAACCUGCCCUCUUCAGGGGGACAACCUUCCGAAAGGGAGGCUAAUCCCGCGUAUAUCGGUUUCGGGCAUCCGAGAUCGAGGAAAGAUUCAUCGGAAGAGGAUGGGCAUGCGGCGCAUUAGCUAGACGGCGGGGUAACGGCCCACCGGGCGACGAUGCGUAGGGGUUCUGAGAGGAAGGUCCCCCACACUGGUACUGAGACACGGACCAGACUCCUACGGGAGGCAGCAGUGAGGAAUAUUGGUCAAUGGGAGAGAUCCUGAACCAGCCAAGCCGCGUGAGGGAAGACGGCCCUAUGGGUUGUAAACCUCUUUUGUCGGAGAACAAAACCCGGGACGUGUCCCGGACUGCGUGUAUCCGAAGAAAAAGCAUCGGCUAACUCCGUGCCAGCACCCGCGGUAAUACGGAGGAUGCGAGCGUUAUCCGGAUUUAUUGGGUUUAAAGGGUGCGUAGGCGGUCCGUUAAGUCAGCGGUAAAAUUGCGGGGCUCAACCCCGUCGAGCCGUUGAAACUGGCAGACUUGAGUUGGCGAGAAGUACGCGGAAUGCGCGGUGUAGCGGUGAAAUGCAUAGAUAUCGCGCAGAACUCCGAUUGCGAAGGCAGCGUACCGGCGCCAGACUGACGCUGAGGCACGAAAGCGUGGGGAUCGAACAGGAUUAGAUACCCUGGUAGUCCACGCAGUAAACGAUGAAUGCUGG